rnacentral:misc_RNA from 1 species
UUUCCGUAGGUGAACCUGCGGAAGGAUCAUUAUUGAAUGAACUUGGUAGUGGUUGUAGCUGGCUCUCUCGAGAGCAUGUGCACACCCGCCAUCUUUAUCUUUCCACCUGUGCACUUCUUGUAGACUUUGGGAUUUGAAAACUUAUCCGGGGCAACUCGGUCGGGAGGAGCUGCUGUAGCAAUACGGCUCUCCUUGACAAGUCUUCGAAGUCUAUGUUUUUCAUAUACCCCAUAGUAUGUAACAGAAUGUAUACAAAUGAGCCUUAGUGCUUAUAAAACUUAUACAACUUUCAACAACGGAUCUCUUGGCUCUC